rnacentral:lncRNA from 1 species
AUGUGUAAUGCAGGGGAAAUUGAAGCAAACCCACCAAGACCUGAAAAUAAUGAGGAUACUCAGGCCACCUUGGAGAAUUUCAGCCGAACAGCGUCCGGAGGUGCAUUUGUGGUAUCACAAGUCCCAAGCCUUCCCUUGCCUGACCUAUACCCCCCAAGUCAAAUCACAGACCUUGAUGCCACACCUCAUGAAGGUGAGAUUGUUCUUACAUGGACAGCACCAGGAGAUGAUUUUGAUGUUGGAAAAGUUGAACAUUAUAUCAUAAGAAUAAGUGGAAGUAUCCUUGAUCUAAGAGACAGUUUUGAUGAUGCUCUUCAAGUAAAUACUACUGAUCUGUCACCAAAGGAGGCCAACUCCAAGGAAAUCUUUGCAUUUAAACCAGGAAAUAUCUCAGAAGAAAAUGCAACCCACAUAUUUAUUGCCAUUAAAAGUAUAGAUAAAAGCAAUUUGACAUCGAAAGUCUCCAAUAUUGCUCAAGUAGCUUUGUUUAUCCCUCAAGCAAAUCCUGAUGAAAAUUAUACUACUCCUACUCCAGACAAAAAUUAUACUACUCCUACUCCAGAUAAAAAUUAUACUACUGCUAUUCCUGAUAAAAAUCAUCAUUCUGGAGUUAAUAUUUCUACCCUGGUAUUGUCUGUGGUUGGGUCUGUUGUAAUUCUUAGCAUUAUUUUAAGUACCACCAUUUGAAUCUUAACAAGGGAAAAAUCUACAAGUAGACCUAGAACAGGGUUUUAGAAAACAAAACAGGAUAAGUAAAAGGUAUUUCUGAAUCUCAAAAUUCAUCCCGUGUGUGAUCAUAAACUCACAAAAAUAAUUUUAAAUGUCUAAAAUAAUUUUUAAGGAUACUUGGAUUAAAUAAAACAUCCAUGGAUAUGUAAAGAACUGUGUGAAAAUUUAAAUUUAAUAAUUGUACUUAUUUGUUAUUUUAUUUGUAAGAAAUAGAGAUGAACAAAAACCCUUUUUCAUACUCAUUCCUGGUUGUAUAUUAUUUGAUACAAAAGUUUUCUGAAAUGAUAUUUCAAAUUUCAUCAAGAAAUGUAAAGGAUCUAUUUGAGUAGUCAAAAUACAAUUAAAGGA